rnacentral:rRNA from 1 species
UACGUAGGGCGCAAGCGUUGUCCGGAAUUAUUGGGCGUAAAGGGCUCGUAGGCGGUUUGUCGCGUCUGCUGUGAAAACCUCAGGCUCAACCUGGGGCUUGCAGUGGGUACGGGCAGACUAGAGUGCGGUAGGGGUGACUGGAAUUCCUGGUGUAGCGGUGGAAUGCGCAGAUAUCAGGAGGAACACCGAUGGCGAAGGCAGGUCACUGGGCCGCAACUGACGCUGAGGAGCGAAAGCAUGGGGAGCGAACAGG